rnacentral:rRNA from 1 species
CCUACGGGAGGCAGCAGUGGGGAAUAUUGCACAAUGGGGGGAACCCUGAUGCAGCAAUGCCGCGUGGGUGAAGAAGCACUCCGGUGCGUAAAGCCCUGUCAGCAGGGAAGAACAUGACAGUACCUGACCAAGAAGACACGGCUAACUACGUGCCAGCAGCCGCGGGAAUACGUAGGGGGCAAGCGUUAUCCGGAUUACCUGGGUGGAAAGGGAGCGCAGGCUGUAUGGCAAGUCAGAUGUGAAAACCCAGGGCCCAACCCUGGGACUGCAUUUGAAACUGCCAUACUGGAGUGCCGGAGAGGUAAGUGGAAUUCCUAGUGUAGCGGUGAAAUGCGUAGAUAUUAGGAGGAACACCAGUGGCGAAGGCGACUAUCUGGCACAUAACUGACGCUGAGGAGCGAAAGCGUGGGGAGCAAACAGGAUUAGAUACUCCAGUAGUC